rnacentral:rRNA from 1 species
GCAUAUCAAUAAGCGGAGGAAAAGAAACUAACAAGGAUUCCCUUAGUAACGGCGAGUGAAGAGGGAAGAGCUCAAAUUUUAAAUCUAUCAUGUUGUACAUGAUCGAGUUGUAAUUUGAAGAAGCAUUUUCUCGUACUUUAUGAUCAGUAUAAGUUCUCUUGGAACAGGACAUCAUAGAGGGUGAUAAUCCCGUCUGUUACUGAUUGUGAGGUUCGUUUAUGAUACGCUUUCAAAGAGUCGAGUUGUUUGGGAUUGCAGCUCCAAAUGGGUGGUAAACAUCACCUAAGGCUAAAUAUUUGCGAGAGACCGAUAGCGAACAAGUACCGUGAGGGAAAGAUGAAAAGAACUUUGAAAAGAGAGUUAAAAGGUAUGUGAAAUUGUUGAAAGGGAAACGAUUGAAGUCAGUCGUGCAGUUAUCAAUUCAGCGGUUAACAUUUUAUGUUUCCGUGUAAUUUGGUGUCUGUUGGUUAGCAUCAAUUUUGAUUGUUAUAAAAAGGUUAAGGGGAUGUGGCUCCUUCGGGAGUGUUAUAACCCUUAGCGUAAUGUGACGAUUAGGAUUGAGGUUUGCAACGAAUACCUUUUAGGGCAGUUUCACCUGGCCUCUCGUGGAAUUAUAGAUAGUUAAGAGCAUGCUCUUACUGUUUAUGAUUCUACGAAAAGGUUGGAGUGUAAAACUAAUUCGUUAAGGAUGUUGACGUA